rnacentral:rRNA from 1 species
UUAAGUUAAUAAGGGCGCACGGUGGAUGCCUUGGCACUAGGAGCCGACGAAGGACGUGACAAACGACGAUAUGCCUUGGGUAGCUGUAAGUAAGCGAUGAUCCAGGGAUUUCCGAAUGGGGGAACCCAACAGGUAAUACCUGUUACCUACAUCUGUUAAGGAUGUGAGGAGGAAGACGCAGUGAACUGAAACAUCUAAGUAGCUGCAGGAAGAGAAAGCAAAAGCGAUUGCCUUAGUAGCGGCGAGCGAAACGGCAGAAGGGCAAACCGAAGAGUUUACUCUUCGGGGUUGUAGGACUGCAAUGUGGACUCAAAGAUUAUAGAAGAAUGAUUUGGGAAGAUCAGCCAAAGAGAGUAAUAGCCUCGUAUUUAAAAUAGUCUUUGUACUUAGCAGUAUCCUGAGUACGGCGGGACACGUGAAAUCCCGUCGGAAUCUGGGAGGACCAUCUCCCAACCCUAAAUACUCCCUAGUGACCGAUAGUGAACCAGUACCGUGAGGGAAAGGUGAAAAGCACCCCGGGAGGGGAGUGAAAUAGAACCUGAAACCGUGUGCCUACAACAAGUUCGAGCCCGUUAAUGGGUGAGAGCGUGCCUUUUGUAGAAUGAACCGGCGAGUUACGUUAUGAUGCGAGGUUAAGUUGAAGAGACGGAGCCGUAGGGAAACCGAGUCUGAAUAGGGCGCCUUAGUAUCAUGACGUAGACCCGAAACCAUGUGACCUACCCAUGAGCAGGUUGAAGGUGCGGUAAGACGCACUGGAGGACCGAACCAGGGCACGUUGAAAAGUGCUUGGAUGACUUGUGGGUAGCGGAGAAAUUCCAAACGAACUUGGAGAUAGCUGGUUCUCUCCGAAAUAGCUUUAGGGCUAGCGUCGACAUUAGAGAUUCUUGGAGGUAGAGCACUGUUUGGGUGAGGGGUCCAUCCCGGAUUACCAAUCUCAGAUAAACUCCGAAUGCCAAUGAAUUAUGGUCGGCAGUCAGACUGCGAGUGCUAAGAUCCGUAGUCGAAAGGGAAACAGCCCAGACCACCAGCUAAGGUCCCAAAAUAAUUGUUAAGUGGAAAAGGAUGUGGGGUUGCACAGACAACUAGGAUGUUAGCUUAGAAGCAGCUAUUCAUUCAAAGAGUGCGUAAUAGCUCACUAGUCGAGUGACCCUGCGCCGAAAAUGUACCGGGGCUAAAACAAUUUACCGAAGCUGUGGAUACCUUUAUAGGUAUGGUAGGAGAGCGUUCUAUGUGUGAUGAAGGUAUACCGUGAGGAGUGCUGGAACGCAUAGAAGUGAGAAUGCCGGUAUGAGUAGCGAAAGACAGGUGAGAAUCCUGUCCACCGUAAGACUAAGGUUUCCAGGGGAAGGCUCGUCCGCCCUGGGUUAGUCGGGACCUAAGGAGAGACCGAAAGGUGUAUCCGAUGGACAACAGGUUGAUAUUCCUGUACUAGAGUAUGUAGUGAUGGAGGGACGCAGUAGGCUAACUAAAGCAGACGAUUGGAAGAGUCUGUCUAAGCAGUGAGGUGUGAAUUGAGUCAAAUGCUUAAUUCUAUAACAUUGAGCUGUGAUGGGGAGCGAAGUUUAGUAGCGAAGUUAGUGACGUCACACUGCCAAGAAAAGCUUCUAGCGUUUAAACAUACUCUACCCGUACCGCAAACCGACACAGGUAGUCGAGGCGAGUAGCCUCAGGUGAGCGAGAGAACUCUCGUUAAGGAACUCGGCAAAAUGACCCCGUAACUUCGGGAGAAGGGGUGCUGACUUUAAGUCAGCCGCAGUGAAUAGGCCCAAGCAACUGUUUAUCAAAAACACAGCUCUCUGCUAAAUCGUAAGAUGAUGUAUAGGGGGUGACGCCUGCCCGGUGCUGGAAGGUUAAGAGGAGUGCUUAGCGUAAGCGAAGGUAUGAAUUGAAGCCCCAGUAAACGGCGGCCGUAACUAUAACGGUCCUAAGGUAGCGAAAUUCCUUGUCGGGUAAGUUCCGACCCGCACGAAAGGCGUAAUGAUUUGGGCACUGUCUCAACGAGAGACUCGGUGAAAUUUUAGUACCUGUGAAGAUGCAGGUUACCCGCGACAGGACGGAAAGACCCCAUGGAGCUUUACUGCAGUUUGAUAUUGAGUGUCUGUACCACAUGUACAGGAUAGGUAGGAGUCUAAGAGAUCGGGACGCCAGUUUCGAAGGAGACGCUGUUGGGAUACUACCCUUGUGUUAUGGCCACUCUAACCCAGAUAGGUGAUCCCUAUCGGAGACAGUGUCUGACGGGCAGUUUGACUGGGGCGGUCGCCUCCUAAAAGGUAACGGAGGCGCCCAAAGGUUCCCUCAGAAUGGUUGGAAAUCAUUCGCAGAGUGUAAAGGUAUAAGGGAGCUUGACUGCGAGAGCUACAACUCGAGCAGGGACGAAAGUCGGGCUUAGUGAUCCGGUGGUUCCGUAUGGAAGGGCCAUCGCUCAACGGAUAAAAGCUACCCUGGGGAUAACAGGCUUAUCUCCCCCAAGAGUUCACAUCGACGGGGAGGUUUGGCACCUCGAUGUCGGCUCGUCGCAUCCUGGGGCUGUAGUCGGUCCCAAGGGUUGGGCUGUUCGCCCAUUAAAGCGGCACGCGAGCUGGGUUCAGAACGUCGUGAGACAGUUCGGUCCCUAUCCGUCGCGGGCGUAGGAAAUUUGAGAGGAUCUGCUCCUAGUACGAGAGGACCAGAGUGGACUUACCGCUGGUGUACCAGUUGUCUUGCCAAAGGCAUCGCUGGGUAGCUAUGUAGGGAAGGGAUAAACGCUGAAAGCAUCUAAGUGUGAACCCACCUCAAGAUGAGAUUUCCCAUGAUUAUAUAUCAGUAAGAGCCCUGAGAGAUGAUCAGGUAGAUAGGUUAGAAGUGGAAGUGUGGCGACACAUGUAGCGGACUAAUACUAAUAGCUCGAGGACUUAUCCAA